UACAGAGGGUGCAAGCGUUGUCCGGAAUUAUUGGGCGUAAAGAGCUCGUAGGCGGCUUUGUCAGUCGGGUGUGAAACCUCCAGGCUCAACCUGGAGCCGCCACCCGAUACUGCAAUAGCUAGAGUCCGGUAGGGGAGCAUGGAACUCCUGGUGUAGCGGUGAAAUGCGCAGAUAUCAGGAGGAACACCGGUGGCGAAGGCGGUGGUCUGGGCCGGCACUGACGCUGAGGAGCGAAAGCGUGGGGAGCGAACAGG
rnacentral:rRNA from 1 species